AUGUGUUUGUAUUUAUACUGUACAUAAUAAAUAUCCACAGUACACACACGUAAUUUAUGUAAACACAAACUUUUAUUUUGUAUGCGAUUAAUC